GAAUCUUCAGACAACGUGCUAAGCUUCCCCUACGGGGCAAUUCCUUUGGAGCUACCUCUGUUGGAAUAACUAGAGAUUAGUAUUUACCUUCUUUAGCUCUAAAUUGGUAGCUAGAUUUACAGAACAUUGCGUCCAAAUAUUUGAGCUUCUGUUUAACUCUGCAGUGCGAGUUUCCUCUAUGGGGUGAUUUGUUUGGAGCUUCUUCUACAGCAUGAGCUUCCUCUGUUGGAAUUCGUAGAGAAAUAAGAGAAAGUUUUCAAAGGCACAUAAUAUACACGCACAUUUGAUUAUGCAUGGAUUCACACCGAACUAUACAUAUUAGACCAAGCAUGGAAAAGAAGCCAUGAAUGACUCUGGUGGUGAUAUGCAUGAAGCAUGAGAGCCUGAGUGUGAUAUGUAUCAAGUUAUUCCAGAUAGGGAUAUCAAAGAGAUUGUUGAUGACUUCAUGGACCGAGGUGAUGAUAUUCUUGAAAUUUUGGAGCAGAUAGUUUGCAAUGCCAAGGGCAAUGAUGAAUACAAUGAUAGAGAGUUUGCUAAAUUUCAAAAAUUUGUGCAGCAAUCGAAGGAAGAACCUUUAUACCUGGGCUGUGAGGAGUAAUAAACGUUGUUGCAUGUGGUACUCCUACUUUUGAAAUUGAAGGUAAUCAAUGGGUGGUCUGAUAAGAGUUUCACUGCCUUGUUACAAUUGUUAGCAGCAUUGCUUCCAAAUGAGAAUCUGCUACCAACAUCCACAUAUGAAGCAAAGAAGACAAUUUGUCCCUUGGGAUUGGAAGUGGAAAGAAUCCAUGCUUGCAAGUAAGACUGUAUUAUUUGUUCUGGAGAGUAUGCAGGAUUGCAUGAGUGUCCAAUAUGUGGAACCCCUCGAUACAAGCAGCAUAAUGAUGGGGGAUGCUCGAAGGAACAAUGGUGAUGUGGCAUCUUCCUGUAAUACCUCGGUUGAAGCGUUUGUUUGCCAAUUGUUCCAUUGGCACAAAGAGGGCCGUAAGAAUCAUUCAAACCUGCGACACCCUGUUGAUUGUGUGCAGUGGCAAAACAUCGAUAUGAAAUCCGGGGAGUUUCUCGCAGAA